AUAUUUCUGGGGUAUUCGUCAAGCUCUUAUUUUCAACCUACAAUAUUUAUACGGGAGUUCGAGAUCUAGAUGUGCAUUUGGCUUAUAAGACCAAUUUUUAAUUGGCAAGGACUGUUAUACAUCUCUGAGGACACCCACCUAUCAUAAAGAUAGGUGUAAAAAUUGGGGCAACGGUAUUUUGGAUUAAUA
rfam:Clostridium estertheticum subsp. estertheticum strain DSM 8809, complete genome.